UUGUUGUCUUGCUGUGGAAAUGUUUUUCUACAGCCUACAGUGAACAAGGGAAUGAAUAGUGUAGCACAUGCCCUUCUCCUUGGGCAACUAUACUAAUAAUGGGGUCUUCCUGUGACCUUCCCACAAGACGUAUUUGAACACCUGAAGUGAUAUAGAGUCAACUACAUGGAAGGAAGAAGGAAUUUAACAUAAGAGCUCUUAUUCCAGACAGGUUUGAAUUAGUCCUUCUUCUCAUGUUUCUUUAAUUCUUGUUUUGCUUUGUUUUGUUUUGUUUUCAAGAAAAUGUAAUUAUUGUCUGGGAAAUCUGACUUCAACUAGCCACCUGCCAAGUACUGACUCACAUCUGUGUACAAGAUGUUCCCAGUGCUUCUGUAUGUAUUUGUAUCUAUUUGCAGAACAUAUCAGAUCAGCUGCUUUCUGCAUGCAUGGAAAGAAAGGAGAAAGAACCUCCAGCAUAACCCAAAGGACAGGUCCUGGGGUUUCUUUCUCUCCAACUCACUCUGCACGUUUCUACUCUCCAUGUGUUUUGAAAGACUUGAUCAGUGUCGCUCAGAAGCAUUGCCAUGGACGCCCAGAAUGUACCUAGUGGCUUCACUGAGGAACUGCAAAACCUCGUCACCUCAGUCCAACCGUGACAUGCAGCACUCCACACAUUUUCCCAUGUGCAUUAUUUUCACUUUUAUCCAUGUGAUCAAACUUUGAAAACUGAAAAGAAGAAAACAGCUCUAAAGAUCUGCAAAGAAUAAGCAGUACCAAAUAACGUUUGAGGGUGAUACGGCAGAAGAAGAAAACGGACUAACAAUUUGUGAAUUACAGGUUUGACACUAGGGGGGGGAAACGCUGUAACACAUUUCACACUCUCAAAUGUUCGCUGUUUUCUUGCUUUUACCUGAGGCCAAAAUCUUGAGCAUCCACUCAUUAUAGCUCAACAGUUCCAAAUGCCAGGGCAGAAUGACAUUGACCAGUUUCUUUUUAAGUAACUUUACUGAGAAGUGGGAAUGUUUGCAGAUUAACUCAAGGCUAGCUUCCUCAGUGACAGAGGAAAGGUUUUUUUUGUUGUUUCUUUUUAUUUCCUUUUUUUUUUCUUUUUUAGUGGGGGAGUGGAUGAUGGAAGAUGAGGGGAGACGAAAAACAUUUGACUUGGCCCGAAGUAAAAGUGCAUACUUCACACAUAUUUCUAACCAACCCCCCAAAACAGUUUCUGGCUUUGAACGUGUUGAACAGGAAGCCAUUUAGUGUUGGAAUGCUUGCUUUGCCAGUCCAAGAAACACACGUUCUUAUUACUCCUGGGCUAUCUAAAAAGGUUCAGGGUGAAAAAGUUUAAUUUAUAUGUAGAAACUUGUUUCCUGUUUUGUUUUUUCCCCCUGUGUGCCAAGUCUGUUUUUUAAACUCCGUGAUAGGAAGCACAUUUCCCAUUUUCUCCCUUUCAUCUCACUUUAUUUACUCAGCUGUAUAUUUCACUUCAAUUUAUAGCUUAUACUCUUACCUGGCUUAAAGUCCAAAGACAGAGCGAGAAAGAGAUGGAUGUUGUGUUUUCAUGGUUACUGAGGAAAGGGAAGAAUCUGGGUGGAGGUGAAGCUGCCUUUAUAUCAAUAUCAAGGGAGUGGUUGAUGGAGACUUUUCUUUCAGGAUGUUCUACAGUAUACAUUCAAAAAAGGUGAGGAAGAGGACACAAGGAAAGCAGUAGUGAGGCAGAGCAGUUCCCUCAUUACUGAAUGAACUUGUGCAUAUUUGAACCCUAUUUACGUUCUCCAAAUGAGAUACACAACACAGCUAUUUCCCUCUGUUUGAACUACUUGCAUGUAGAAGCAUAAGCAACUAAAAAUAAAGUUAAAAUAAAGUAACAAAAAGAAAAGUAAAAUAAAUUAAGUUUACAAAUAUUAGGUACGCCUAAUAUACAUAUGUAUGUGUCCACUCUGCAAGAGAAUUAGCUCCCCAAGAAAGAAGAAAAGACUUCUUGAACAAGGACUGUGGUAUUUAAAAAUUAGAUUAGGACCAUUGCUUAGAACAGAUUUUAAGAAAAUGGAUGACUUUGUUGCUUUGGAGGUGAAAAGAUGCCUAAUGAAAGCCAUUGUACGCAUAACUGCAUGCCCAUUGCAACUAAAGGGAACUAGCAGGCCCACUACAUUAUUGUAGCUCAGUUGUCAAAUCAUUAAGACUGUAACAGGCUUUGAAAUAUCUUGAGUCUUUCCUUUUUUGCUGUCCCAACAUCUUGAUAUUGCCCAAUAAAAAACAUCCCAGCUAUUAAAAGGAGGGAAUGCACUGUGGCUUUUUCCAUAUGCCAUCCUGGGGUGAAAUUCUGUAAAAAUAUCACUUUUCUCUUUUGUACCACUCUUCCUCUAGAGGCCAAAGUAUCUGCGUGAGUAGCCUCCAAUUUAAAGUUUGAUAUAGAUGCAAAAGAUUCCAUCCGUAUCUGCAGCAGAUCCUUUGAUUCUCUACACCUCUAUUAUUAACAAGCCUUCAAUAAAAUAGUCAGUGUACCUCUUCAAAGAAAUGCCCAUUUCUUCAAGAUAACAUGGCUGAGGCACACAGGUGCUCCUACAUGCAAGGGAAAUUACUGCUGAACUCACGAGCUUUUGUGAACCAACAUGCGGCAUUGCUUCCAAUGGCUGCUCAGUGGUCAAGCUUGUCUCUGAAGAGCUUGGCCUACACUUCUGCCAAUACUCCUGGCCAUAGUGACUUCAGGAAGCUGAAGUGGGUCAGGUAUAACAGAACUUGACAUUGUCCAUCUUCCACAUCCUUUUUUUCUCUUUUUCUGAAAAGAAAUCUCAAUAACAGGAAAAAAAGUUGUUCCCCCUCUCCUGUUGGAAUUGCACAGCCAUGCCUCGAGCGUCCUGGAGCAGAAGGCUGCCCAGAAUCCUGGUAGCAACAGAAGAAAAUGAAGAGAACUUGGGAACGAGCUGGACAAGCUACAGCAUGGACAUAUCUGCAGUCUCUGGCAUUUCUGUCUAACCUCUAGCUCUCUCAACUCUCCUUCCCAAUUAGCCAUAAGUGGACCUGCAAAUGACAGCUGAAGACAUCUCUAACUGAUGAGAGGCUCUGCACAAUUCCUGGAAGUUCCUGAAAGGUUAAAUGGUUCAGAAGAGAUAGCAGCUGCCUGUGCCUCCACCUACAUUCCUUCAGCUUCUGACCCGCAUUAAAAUAUAUAAUUUAAUAUGACAACUUAAUUCCAAACUUUAAAGAAAAAAUAAGAAGUUGAUUAUGAUUGGCAUGGAAAUUACAUCCUCCUGUUAGUUCUCAUUUUAUGCCAGCACGGUCAUUCCAGCCUUUGUCAUUCACGUGCAAGCAGGAUGAAGAGCCAGCUCACUCCAGCUUUCUGCCCUGGUGAGUGAGAAGAGCCCAGAAGCAAAGGGCUUUUGAGAGUCACUUGUCACAACUAAGGUGUAAAGCCCACACUCUUACUCAGGAGUAGGUGUUUGCUGAUAAAACCUAGUAAACUACAAUCUGUAUUUUGUGAUUAAGGCUUUUGCUUUGCUGAUUCUGGAGAACAUACUGAUACCGGCUUAAAAAUACUGGCAAGAAUUUUGUAUACCUCCUUGAUCAAAUGGUUCAAGCUAAUUAGAAGAGCAUGUCAUUAUCAUCUGUACAUCUGGGUUGAUAUUAGACUAAUAAGAGGUGCUUUCAUACCAACUGUUGUGAAAACCUGCAAAUCUAACAACUCUCUUCUGUACACCAGCCAAACUCUUGACUGACCUCUGAAUGUCAGCUUAAAAGUCACCUUUUAUUUUAAUUCACUGACAUUGUAAAUAUGUUCUGCACUGUACCAGAUAAACAACCCUCAGAUCCUUUUGGAAAACACUGACUGUGGGGGUUAGUUUCAUGUAGCACUUAUUCUCACUUGAAAUUUCUCUGAGUGUCCUUAGUGUCUUUCUAGAAUCUAACUCAGUCUCAUAUGAAAUGUCACUUACAAAUCCAAGAAAUGAGUCCCUUUCUGAUAAACCUUUGGCUGCUUCCCGUAAGUAGUAUUUUGGGAAGCGGGCCUUGACAAAUAUUUUACUUUUCUCUGAGUUCUAAAAGUAUACAUAUACGCAGAUAUGCACAUAUCAAUGACUUCAUUGUUUAUGAAAGUGAAAAAUCAACCAAUGGAUUAAUGAUUUUGUUUAUUCCUACUUCUUUUCUACUUGUGUUCCUAGUGAGACUUGGAUUUCUUUAAUAUUUUAUUUAUAGUCUAGUUUAACAUUACAAUUUUCAUUGUAUUUAUGCCAACUGGUCCUGCAGAACUGCUGUAAGUCUUAAAAUAAUUUUCUGUAUUGUCAAAAUGCUAUUUAAAGCAGGUUAGCAUUUAAGUAUGGUUCACUGGAAGACAGUUCACUGUCUUCCAGUGACUUCCCAUCACUUUUGCUCAGUUUAGAAGCAAAAGCAUGCUGGUGGUUUUCAAAUAAAGUGAGGCUUAGCUCUUCCUGGCUCAUGUCUUGUCACCUUUAAAUUCAUCCGAGUUGCAGUAUGAUAUUACUGUAGAAAAUUAGGGAGGUCUUGAGAAGCACAAAUGCCAGGAAAGCACCACAAGGUACAAAUCAUUUCUAAGAACCACACAUAUUACUUGUGAUGGGCAAGUGGCAGUGCACAGAGAUAAGAUGAAUGGUAUCUCCUUAGCAACCAUACAUGUGACCUCUGAGAUUGGGGAAAAAAAAAACACACAAAACCACCAUAGUAUUUUAGCUACAAAUGGCCUAAGCCAGAUGGAGAUAAAAACACAUGGCUUAUAUCAUCAAUUUUAGAGAAACACAUCAGGCAAAUUAGACUUUGGUCUAUCCAUAAAUGCACUGGUUUGAAAGAACUUUCCUCUUCACAAAUAUCUGAUAUUAUCUAUCAAGUGCAAUGAAUCCAUCCCUAAUAACGCAUUUCACAGUUGUUUUUCCUUUGCUCAUAUAUAUAUAUCACCAGGCAUCACUAUACUUGUCUGUGAUCAUGUAACAGGUCUUGAGGUUUCCUGGUAAAUAAUGAAGAUGGCAAAGUAGUUUUAGUGAAAGAAGAGACUUUUGCCUAUUCCUAGAAUCAGUACUAUCCAAAGCUUGCCUUGCUUUCUGAAACAUUAAGUUGACCUUUUUAUGGAUGUUUUUGUCUGCUUUUGUACUUCAGGAGCUGGGAAAAACAUAGAAAAAAAUGUCAGCAUUACAAAAGAAAAGUUAUAACUGGGGUAGUAGCAAAUGGAAACAGAAAUCCCUGAAAUCUGUCAAUAAAGUCUUAUACCCAUGUCAUUUCAAGUUCCAUUUUGCAGCAUUAAGGUGUUUGACUCAUUUACAUGAGAUCUGGAUAAGAGGUUAGACUCUCUGAUGUGUUUUCAAACUGAAAACAUGAACUAAAGUGAAGUUGCCAGCACUUGGGGACAAAACUAUUUGGACACUGGGUAAAUUUAAAUGUUAUAGGAAGAGUAUUCAAAAAUUCAGGAGCUGUAAACAAAUGUGGUUAUCUGAAAUUUCAUCAUCAUUUACCUUUUUACUAACCAGAUGAAUAAACCAUGAAUGUGAGAAAAAAAUCUCAUUGAUGAAAUUCCUGUCCCUAGUCUGGAAGUAGCUAUUGAAAUGUAGGGAACACAUUAUAAGGAAAAGGCCUG
ensembl:lncRNA